UACAGGGGGUGACUUGUCACAGAGUGAUUGAUGGCCAACCUUUCCCGACAGGCCCCACUACUGGCUGCUGCCCACCCUUUGCCUCCUCUCUGGCCACCCUGUGUACCUCCCCAGGUUUCCUGUUUCUCCCUGAGAGGCCUGGAUGACCUUGGCAAGCUUGGAUGACCUUGGCAAGCCCCCUUUGAACUUCACAGCAGAUGUGCAGAUAAAGUGUGAAUGCAUACACAUGGAGAGAAGCACAGCACUCAUUGAGCAUUUGCUAUGGACCAGCUCUCAUUAGGCACUGGGAGGGAGUGGACAAAGAUGGCGGCAUGAGGUUGAUUGGCACAGGCCUUAAGGGACGGCAACUUGCAGUUGGACAGAGGACAGACACAUGGCAUCAGUAGAAAUUGAAUUCUUUUUCCAUUUUUGACAUCUGCAGGACUAUUCCAGAAGGUUCAAACCUGUUAAGAUAU
rnacentral:lncRNA from 1 species